GGUGGGGUUCCCGAGCGGCCAAAGGGAGCAGACUGUAAAUCUGCCGUCCUCGACUUCGAAGGUUCGAAUCCUUCCCCCACCACCA
rnacentral:tRNA from 2 species